GUAAAUCUUUUCCAAGUAAGAAGGCAUUAGAUGAGGAGAAGGAAAAAGAGGAGUUAAUAGCCCUGAGGCAAGAAUUGAAGGAAUUGCAAGAAAAGUUGUUGGAGAAGGAUGAGUUGGUCCUGAAAUCAGAGGAGGAUGCUAAGAUGGAAAUGAAUUCUCUUCAAUCAAAACUUGAUGAGAUUAGAAAUCACGACAUUGAGAAAGAUUCCAUUAUUCGAUCUACUAAGCAACAACUUGUUGAUACAAAGCUUAAGUUGGCAGAUAAGCAGGCUGCAGCUGCAAAAACCUCAAGUCAAAAAGUUGUGUAGCUUCAGGAAGAUCUACACUCCCUUGAAGAACAAAUGUCAUCUUUUAUGUUAUUCCUUGAAAACAACUUCUCCAAUAAUCUCCCUUCGAUCAUAAAUCCCUAUGACUUUGAUGUUUCUCCCUAUACUCCGGUUGAUCCUUAUCAGGAUUUUGACGAUGUGGAAAAACGAGAAAUGGAGUUGGCACACAAAACGUAUGUUACUGCGGCUGUUGUGAAAGAAAAACGAGACAAAUAGUCUAUUGCGGCUGCAGAAAGGGGGAGGUUACAUCUUCAAUCAUUUGUUUUUAGAUACAACAAUAUGUAAAGAAAGGUUGUGUUAUUUAGUUUUUCUGGUUAUGGAAUGAUUCCAAUCAUUUGUAUUCAAACUAUAUCACAGUAAUAUUCUAUAUUGAAU